GGAGAGUUGUCAGAGUGGUCGAAUGAGCAAGCCUGGAAAGUUUGUAUACGGGAAACUGUAUCGAGAGUUCGAAUCUCUCACUCUCCG
rnacentral:tRNA from 1 species